UACGUAGGUGACAAGCGUUGUCCGGAUUUACUGGGCGUAAAGAGCGCGCAGGCGGUCGUUCAAGUCGAGUGUGAAAGCCCCCGGCUCAACCGGGGAACCGGCGCCGAUACGACCGCCCUGGAGGGACGUAGGGGGACCUGGAACUUCCGGUGGAGCGGUGAAAUGCGUUGAGAUCGGAAGGAACGCCCGUGGCGAAAGCGAGGUCCUGGACGUCUGCUGACGCUGAGACGCGAAAGCCAGGGGAGCGAACGGG
rnacentral:rRNA from 1 species